rnacentral:rRNA from 1 species
AACGUAGGUUCCGAGCGUUAUCCGGAUUUACUGGGCGUAAAGCGCGUUCAGGCGGUUUGGCAAGUCGGGCAUGAAAUCUCUCGGCUCAACCGGGAGAGGUUGUCCGAUACUGCUGGACUUGAGGGCAGUAGAGGGUGGUGGAAUUCCGGGUGUAGUGGUGAAAUGCGUAGAUAUCCGGAGGAACACCAGUGGCGAAGGCGGCAUCCUGGACCGGCAUUGACACUGAGGAGCGAAAGCCAGGGGAGCAAACGGG